GAGUGGACGUUUUACUGAAGCAGUCACAACGACGACAGCACUAGCUGGGCCGCAUUAUCCAUCGCCAGAUCUGACUGAAGUGAAGUAAAGGAAGACGGGAGUCCUUUUUGUGCACUGAGCGUGGUGGGUGAGUCUUUGUGCUGUGAAAACCUUUAAGUUUGACGUGGUGUUGUAUAUUGCUGUGGGUUGCUGUGGAUUGCUGUAUGUCUUGUCUGACAGACCCCCGCCUUCACGCAAUUCGCUAAGGGAAGACCAAGAGGCUGCUGGCCUUAGCUUGACUCAACCCUGCAUAUGUUGUGAGCGUGUUUCAGAUCUCAGAAAGUAGCACGGUGCCCCGGGACGAUCCUUUCCCGCCUAGACAUUUGGUGGGUGGUGCGAGCGACAACGAAGAGCUGGAGAAGCAGCAUUGUGAGUACGAUUUGCGGCUAUUACCAUUCAAUACUGUAAACUGUGCGAGUCUUAUUGUUGCAGAGAGCGAGGUGAAGUGAUUCUCAUCGUCCCGUGGCCUCUACAAAGGGGCGCCCCGGUCCAGAGUUCGAACGUCUGACGGCAGCGAGAAAAGGGAAGCGCUCGGCCCGGUGAGACGUUGAGUUAUUCCACCCCCCUGCCACCGCACAGCCGUCGAGAGGGUUCGCCCCCGACGCCACGUAGGGACGACUUACUCCAUCAGACGUUUCGCCCAAGCGGAUACCUGUGGAGGAAAGAACAGAGAGAGUGAAUAACCUGAGGAGAGAUCGAAGAAACCUGUACUUACGGUACGCUGUGUCCAGCAGAGAGGUGAGAGCCAUUCAAAGCCAAUUAACUGUGCUUCUGUGUCCAAGUUGAUACCUGUGAAGGAAAGAACAGAGAAAGUGAAUAACCUGAGGAGAGAUCGAAGAAACCUGUACUUACGGUACGCUGUGUCCAGCAGAGAGGAGGACAAAGGAGCGCGCCACGGAUACUCCAGACCAGGUUGGAGCCUGAGUCCCACGCCCCCCUGGUCCCUAGUGUCCUGGACAUCCCGUUGCCCCCUUGUUCCCUGUCCGUGGCCCACCUGGAGGGCAGAGACAGAUAUUAGUUUUAAUUUCCCCCCUCCCCAUUUCCCAAGAACAUUUUAAAUAUUUAAUGAACAAAUAAAAGAUUGUUUUUAUACUUA